UACAGAGGUCCCGAGCGUUGUUCGGAUUCACUGGGCGUAAAGGGUGCGUAGGCGGCCAGAUAAGUCCGCUGUGAAAUCUCGAGGCUCAACUUCGAGCUGUCGGUGGAAACUGUCUGGCUAGAGUCCGGAAGAGGAGAAUGGAAUUCCUGGUGUAGCGGUGAAAUGCGCAGAUAUCAGGAAGAACACCCGUGGCGAAGGCGGUUCUCUGGGACGGUACUGACGCUGAGACGCGAAAGCGUGGGGAGCGAACAGG
rnacentral:rRNA from 1 species